GACAGAGGGUGCAAACGUUGUUCGGAAUUACUGGGCGUAAAGCGAGUGUAGGCGGUUUGGUAAGUCGGAUGUGAAAGCCCCGGGCUCAACCCGGGAAGUGCACUCGAUACUGCCAAGCUAGAGUAUCGGAGAGGUUGGUGGAAUUCUCGGUGUAGAGGUGAAAUUCGUAGAUAUCGGGAGGAACACCAGUGGCGAAGGCGGGCAUCUGGGCCAACACUGACGCUGAGGCGCGAAAGCUAGGGGAGCAAACAGG
rnacentral:rRNA from 1 species